rnacentral:misc_RNA from 1 species
UAACCCUUGUGGAGGAGGACGCCGAAGGUGGGGCUAAUGACUGGGGUGAAGUCGUAACAAGGUAGCCGUACCGGAAGGUGCGGCUGGAUCACCUCCUAACAGGGAGACAACAAAAUGUUUAGUAUUAUUAUUUUGUCACCUUAGGUCGAUCGGUAUCUCACAUUCUUAAUUUAUUAAGAAUUUCAUUUCCUAAGUUUUUCUAGGUCACACCCAUUAUUUUUCCUGGGCCAUUAGCUCAGGUGGUUAGAGCGCACCCCUGAUAAGGGUGAGGUCCCUGGUUCAAGUCCAGGAUGGCCCAUAUCUCUAUGUUGGGGGUAUAGCUCAGUUGGUAGAGCGCCUGCUUUGCAAGCAGGAUGUCAGCGGUUCGAGUCCGCUUACCUCCACUGAUUACCACCUCUUCCGUAAUUUAUAGAAAGGAAAUUUUUUGAGUUGUGAUCAAAUUCUGAACGAAUCUAGCUUCCUAAUGAAAUCAUUAAGAUGCUGGACUCAUUGAAUUAAUUUCAUUGUUUUCAGAGAACCUUGACAACUGCAUAGAUUAUUUUUAAAGACAAUAAGCAUCUUUAAUGAUGCAGAUUUAUUAUUUGUGCGAAUGCAUUAAUAACAAUUCUAUUAAGCUGAUGCUUCAAUUUUGAAGUUAUUGGUCAAGCUACAAAGGGCUCACGGAGGAUACCUAGGCACAC